ensembl:lncRNA
CUAAUGUUUUGUUUGUGCCUGCAUUAACGGAGAAAGGGUCUCCACCCUGGAGCACCACUCCUUCUCUGACCACAGAGCACAGGCAACCACAGCCUUUCGUGAGAUAACUCAGUGCAGCUGCCAGCUCAGCCCCAGCCUGGCAGAGGGAAUGGGGACUUCUGCAGAGCAGAACGAGGUCCAGAGCUGUGCAGAUGUGACCUCCCUAACAAGGGCAUGGGAAGGGGUGGACGCUUUGGAGAUAAAGUCAUGUUGUCCUCCUGCCCGUGGUGCAGUGAAGCCAGGCUGCAAGAAAACACCAAAAUGAAGCACUUUUGAAGCCCUGAACUGGCCAGCUCCAUCUGACAGCUCCAAAAACAGCUCCUUAAACUCCUGCCUGGUUUCAUUCUGUGCAGAGAGCCAGGUCAGACCAUGAAACACCCAGACAGCAAGGACAGGGCUCAGACCUGGCACAGACUCGUGGGCUUCCCUUGCCUGGAGAGCACCCAAAACUGCCCUCUCCACUCAGCCCUCUGCAGAAGACCCAAAGGCAGCCCUCCUGGGACACGGCAUGUUUCUGCAGCAAGUCCUGGGCACCAGCUACAGAGGUAGUUUUGCUGGAGGAGCUUGUGCACAUCAGAGGGGGUGCCGUGCCCUGUGGAGCCCUCUCAGGCUCCUGGGUGGAGCGCCUCCUGCUCCACCAGAAAGACUGUGAAAAUAAUUGCUUAUCCAAAGGAUGGUGAGUAAAGCCUUUGUUUGAUCCACCUCCACAAUUUAUUGAUUGUCUGCACACGGAAAAGAUUACCCUGCCCUAUAAAAACCACCGAGAAAAGGAAGCGAUCAACAGAGGCAAAUGAAGUGAGCAAUUAGUCUGAAACCCUUCAGACCAGCUUUACUUUCAGGCAAGGUUUGAGCAGUGUCAUGCUGACACAAGAAUCUUCAGCAGUCACAAGGAUGGCCCGUGCUGGCAGUGAAGAUUUGUACAACACUGUGAAUUUCCAGGAAGAAGGUUCACCACCCUCCACCUAUGCCAUUGUCAUGGUGUCCCUCAGUGGAAGCCUCCUGCUGCUGGUUGCCAUCAGCAUGGCAAUAAGUGUUCUCCGGAGGCGUUGUACAUCAAAUUAUUCCUCCAAAGACCUCAGAACACCUGUGGUGGUGGAAAGAGUUACAGUGGCAAACUGCAGCUCUGGCAAGAUUUCAACUGUGGAUUUGACUGGCCCGAUGUGCAUAAAUUACAUUUCUUACAAGCAAAAUGUGUGCCCAGCCAGAGUUUGCCAUCUCUGAAGAGACAAUUUCCAUUUCUGAUGCUUCUCCUUUGACAACACCCCCCCCAGUUCAGUGCCAGAGCAAUGAUAGCCCACAACUUCUUCCAUUUGCAGCUUUCUUCUGGAGAGAAAAGGGGAUAAAGGCUCAGGAGAUGUGUGCUACUGAGUGGAUGGACUGACAUGUUGCACUUCAUUUUCUCCACCAAAGUGCUGGACUGUGAACUCAUACCAUAAAAGUAUUAGAAAAUGCAGGAAAAUUGAGGGUUUUUUUAAUGGAAGUGGAGAAAAAGCAUAGAUACAUGUACCUUUACUCUGUGACGCAUUGUGAUAAAAAUUUGCUGCAGAG